GAUGAACGCUGGCGGCGUGCCUAAUACAUGCAAGUCGAGCGAACGGACGAGAAGCUUGCUUCUCUGAUGUUAGCGGCGGACGGGGGAGUAACACGUGGCUAACCUACCUAUAAGACUGGGAUAACUUCGGGAAACCGGAGCUAAUACCGGAUAAUCUUUUGAACCGCAUGGUUCAACAGUGAAAGACGAUCUUGCUGUCACUUAUAGAUGGAUCCGCGCUGCAUUAGCUAGUUGUUAAGGUAACGGCAUACCAAGGCAACGAUGCAGAGCAGACCUGCGAGGGUGAUCGGCCACACUGGAACUGAGACACGGUCCAGACUCCUACGGGAGGCAGCAGUAGGGAUGCGUCCGCAAUGGGCGAAAGCCUGACGGAGCAACGGCGCGUGAGUGAUGAAGGUCUUCGGAUCGGAAAACUCUGUUAUUAGGGAAGAACAUAUGUGUAAGUAGCUGUGCACAUCGUGACGGUACCUAAACAGAAAGCCACGGCUAACUACGUG
rnacentral:rRNA from 1 species